UACGUAGGGGGCGAGCGUUGUCCGGAGUUACUGGGCGUAAAGGGCGUGCAGGCGGUGCAGUAAGUUUGGAGUGACAGUACCCGGCUUAACUGGGUAAGGACUUUGAAAACUGCUGGACUUGAGGGCUUCAGAGGGACACGGAAUUCCGGGUGGAGUGGUGAAAUGCGUAGAGAUCCGGAGGAACACCAAAGGCGAAGGCAGUGUCCUGGGGAGUACCUGACGCUCAGGUGCGAAAGCCAGGGGAGCGAACGGG
rnacentral:rRNA from 1 species